UACGUAGGGGGCAAGCGUUGUCCGGAAUUAUUGGGCGUAAAGAGCGCGUAGGCGGUCCGAUAAGUCGGCUGUGAAAGUCAGGGGCUCAACCCUUGAAAGCCGGCCGAUACUGUCGGACUAGAGUCCGGAAGAGGCAAGUGGAAUUCCCGGUGUAGCGGUGAAAUGCGCAGAUAUCGGGAGGAACACCAGUGGCGAAAGCGGCUUCCUGGUCCAGCACCGACGUUCAGGCACGAAAGCGUGGGGAGCAAACAGG
rnacentral:rRNA from 1 species